rnacentral:rRNA from 1 species
GACGAACGCUGGCGGCGUGCUUAACACAUGCAAGUGGAGCGACGAACCGGGCUUCGGCCCGGGGCAAAGCCGCGAACGGGUGAGUAACACGUGGGUAACCUGCCCCAUUGACCGGGACAACCCGAGGAAACUCGGGCUAAUACCGGAUGAGCUCUCAAUCCAUCAGGGUUGUGAGGAAAGGAAGCUUCGGCCUCCGCAUUGGGAUGGGCCCGCGGCCCAUUAGCUAGUUGGUGGGGUAAAGGCCUACCAAGGCAUCGGAUGGGUAGCUGGUCUGAGAGGACGAUCAGCCACACUGGGACUGAGACACGGCCCAGACUCCUACGGGUGGCUG